UACGAGUGCUCCAAGCGUUAUCCGGAAUUAUUGGGCGUAAAGGGUGUGUAGGUUGUUGUGUUAGUCUUUUGUUAAAUUCUUCGGCUUAACCGGGGGCAGUGCGAAAGAAACGGCACAACUAGAGGAUGCGAGAGGUGAACAGAACUCAUGGAGUAGGGGUGAAAUCCGUUGAUAUCAUGGGGAAUACCAAAUGCGAAGGCAGUUCACUGGCGCACUCCUGACGCUGAAACACGAAAAGCGUAGGUAGCGAAUGGG
rnacentral:rRNA from 1 species